GGGCACCCACCCUUACCCUGUUCCUAGGGCUCAGGCAUAACCCUCUUAAUUUAGGCACUCACCCUUAGCCUUCUGUAGGCUCCGAGCAUAACCUUACACUCUGCAGGUUUGCGGGGUCUUUUACUAGUGAGAGAGCCUCACACAGUAAUGUUCUACUUAACCUCUGUUUAUUAACAAUUACCAAAAAAAAAAAAAAAAGAA